rnacentral:tmRNA from 1 species
CCCCUUUCGCAGCCAGCGUCCCUCGCCUAUAUUAGCUCCGUCAGCUUGCUGACUAUGGUGAUAAACGGUGCGUGGAAUAAGCGUUAUGGACCCGGGGGCAGUACCCGGCGCCUCCACCAUUCAUGGGGGCGAAACAGACUCGACAUGCGUGGUAAAGACCCAUCUUUUGCCCGGCAUUGUACCGCCGUCAUCGGGCUAAUUUUUAAAUGCGAACGAUAACAACGUUGCAUUCGCCGUCGCUGCCUAAAAACAGCUAAGCGCGGUUCGGGGGGUACCGGGCAACAGAAACCCCCCACU